UAGGGAAUCUUCGGCAAUGGACGGAAGUCUGACCGAGCAACGCCGCGUGAGUGAAGAAGGUUUUCGGAUCGUAAAGCUCUGUUGUAAGAGAAGAACGAGUGUGAGAGUGGAAAGUUCACACUGUGACGGUAUCUUACCAGAAAGGGACGGCUAACUACGUGCCAGCAGCCGCGGUAAUACGUAGGUCCCGAGCGUUGUCCGGAUUUAUUGGGCGUAAAGCGAGCGCAGGCGGUUAGAUAAGUCUGAAGUUAAAGGCUGUGGCUUAACCAUAGUACGCUUUGGAAACUGUUUAACUUGAGUGCAAGAGGGGAGAGUGGAAUUCCAUGUGUAGCGGUGAAAUGCGUAGAUAUAUGGAGGAACACCGGUGGCGAAAGCGGCUCUCUGGCUUGUAACUGACGCUGAGGCUCGAAAGCGUGGGGAGCAAACAGGAUUAGAUACCCUGGUAGUCCACGCUGUAAACGGUGAGUGCUAGGUGUUAGACCCUUUCCGGGGUUUAGUGCCGUAGCUAACGCAUUAAGCACUCCGCCUGGGGAGUACGACCGCAAGGUUG
rnacentral:rRNA from 1 species